rnacentral:lncRNA from 1 species
AAGGAGCGAGCCCAAUGCUAAUCCCACCACUCUCAGGGCCAAGACUUCUCCAGGACAGCUCCUCCUUCCAUGCCCGAAAGGCAUCAACUUAAACCCGUCUCUUCCCCCCUCCGGGUUGUCGAACCUCUCAGGUCUGAAUUUUGUAGGGUCUGGCCAGAUUUUAGGGUCAUUUUGAAUGGCCCACAUAUUUACAGAGAGCAUCGUGCCCCGUGGAAUGCGGAAUCCUCCAACCAGGCAUUCUUCUGAUGACUCAUGAGGUAGUAGCAACGGCGCUGGCGGGUACAUCCGCAACGUUUCGUUGAGGAUGCUGCGGAGGUAGGGAAGGUGGGCAAGAUCAGCUUCAUCCAUGAAACGAUCAUGCCCAAUCUGCUCGUCGAUUUCUCUUUGAGCCUUCUCGAGGACUUGGGGAUGGUUGAGCAACAGUGAAAGUGCCCAUUCCAUUGUAGCAGAUGAAGUAUCUGUUCCCGCCAACAAGAGGACCUACACACCAAACCGAAUAGUGGUAAUUAAUUCCAUAGACGAUGCAAAGAAAGUCACCAAAGUGACCUCCCACUCCCUUGUCAAUUCACAAUGGUGGUGUAACUUGACACGGAAACAACUUCUAGCAGUGGAGGUAUCUUACUGCUUGUAGAAAUAUCAAAUAAAGAUGAUGCAAAUCAAAUCACCAGAGUGAUCUCCCACACCCUUGUCAAUUCAAUACACCUUGGUUGCGUCUAUUUCUAAUACAUAAAGUUUGGUGCUAUACAUUAGACUUGUGAGUCACCUAAUCUCAAGGCAAUUAGACUUAGCAUGCUAAGUUCUAAGUGAAGUAGGUCUAAUUGAUAUUUAUUUUUCAUUCAGUAUUAUCAAUAAUUACAAUGCAAUUCCUCAUAUUUUACAUAAAAACAAGAUUUAGAAGCUAUAUAUACAUGAUAAAUGCUUCAUAAAAAAGUUUAUAUUUUUCAAUUCUCUACUCCUUUAAUAUUUGAAAUUUAUCACCGAAUGAUUUUUAAGUUCCUCCAAUUAAAAUUGUUUUUUUAGUAUUCAAGACUAUCUUUGUAAAUUUAAAGUUUUUUAAAUUUAAAAACAUUUGAAUACCUUAACUUAAUAAUUAACUCCUGUCCCAAAAACUAAAUAAACUAUUAAUUUAUAUUGAAAAUUUUAAUAUUUAACAUGUCAAUGUUAAAAAGGUUACUUAAUGUCAACAUUUUAAAGCUACAAGAUUCCUCUUACAAAAUAACCAGUCCAUUUAACAAGAUCGAAAGAAAAAACAUGUCCCUUCAAUGAUUCACAUUAUAAUACAAUGAAGAACAUUUGACAAUUCUGAAUUAUGAUCUAAACAUAAAAGAACAGUGCUGCAUAUCGGUAUCCCAACUCAAUUGAUCAUAAUAAUUAGUAAAUCAAACAACAUGAUUAAAGAUCUUACCAGCAUAAUCCCUUUGAUGAGAUCGUCCGUGUAAUACCCAGGUUCAGUUUCUUGCAGGGACAGCAGAACCUGAAUCAAAUUCGUUUUCUUUUCGCCACAACAAUCACUCUCCACUAUUUUUCUCCGCUGCUCUUCUAUCAAGUACUGCAUGAAACUAUCGCUCUUUAGAUGGCACUCUAUCACUCUCUUCAACAUCUUUUCUGAUUUAAUCCACGGUAUAAAGUCUCCAAUAAUGGUUUUUCCACCUAGCAAUAGGGUUUCAGCAUGAAUUGCUCGAAACCUUUUUGCUUCUUCAACAUCAGAAACAUCCUCUCCAUAAUAUCUCUUUCCAGCUAUCAUCCGCAUCAUUAUAUUCAGUGUCAGUUCGAAGAAAACUGUCCUCAUAUCUACAAACUGGUUCUGAUUACGGAAGAGAACACAAAUCAUUGACUUCACCUCCUCCAGACGUAUGGCAGAGAGCAUUUGGAGGCGGUGUGCAGACAAGACUUCAAUAGAGACGAUUCUCCUAAGGUUUCGCCAGUGGUCGCCAUACGGAGCCCAAAGAAGGCUUGUGGUGUUGUAGGCGAGGUGUUUUGCAAUGAGAUAGCCUGGGCGGUUUGCAAAGACAACAUCAUUUUUGGUAAAGCAUUCUUCAGCUAUCGAAGGGGAUGAGACAACAAGUUGUCGACGAGACCCGAGUUGGAGCAAGAUUACGGGGCCAUGUUUACUAGAGAUUUUUGAUAGUGUCCUGUAAAUUGGCUUCUUAAGUAGGUAGAGAUGGCCAAUGAUUGGUAGUGAAGGGAAUGGACUCGGUGGGAAGUUUCUUAUCUUGUUUAGGAAGUGCGUUGUUAUGAUAUACAAGACUAAAAACACAGGAAAGUAGAGAAAGAAGGUUGCCAUGCAUUUGGCAAUGGCGUCGGUUUCUUUUUUGUUAUUAUUAAUAUGGGAGUCUGGAUUUAGAAAGUUACCUUAAAUUGUUUUGUGCGUGUCUUGGUACUAGGAGGCACAGUAAUGAAAGUAACAGGGUUGAAAUUUCUUGUGGUCGAGCAUGCUUGGCUUAUCUCAUCAUAUUAAAAGCAACGAUGGACGUGUUGAGGCCAGUGCUGACGUAUUUGUAUUGAACUAGUUACCUGCGAAGUUAUUAAACGGGACACAACACGAAUUUUUGGUAAUGAGACAGGCUAGGUGGAGCAUGUAGUAUUUAUUCUUAAAUACAUACAUACAUACAUACAUACACACACACGUAAAUAUACAUAUUAAAAUAACUUUUUUAUUUCUAAAAUUUAUUUUUAAUAUUAAUAUUGUCCCAUUCGACAUUACAACGACCUAUAAAACAAAUUAAUUCAAAAAAAAAUAAAAAUUGAUAUCUUGUUUUUAAAUAAAAAAAAAUUUAAUUCAAAGAGUUGUUAUCUAGUAUUAUAUUCACUAAAAAAUCUAAUUGGUUAUGAUAAAUAAUCGUGUUGAAAGAUUAUUUUCUUAUUGAUAUUAUGUUGAAUGGAUGUAUCAAAAGAUUAUUUCAUGAUUAAUUAAAAUAAUAUCAUAUUAAAUAAACAUGUUGAAAGAUUAUUUCAUGAUUAAUAAAAAUAAUAUUUUAUUGAAUAGACGUGUUGAAAAAUUAUUUUUUAUUAAUAAAAAAAAUCCCUUGUUAAAUGAGCAAGUAAAUUAUUAUUUUAUGAUAAAUGAAAAUAGUGUACUAAUCAAUGAGCUGAGAAUGUUAUUUUCUAAUUAAUGAGUAUAAUUCCUAGUAAAGAUUGGCAUUGAGGUUAAUAUAUUGAUGAUAAGUUACUUCAUUCAAUCAACGAUGCAGUGAAUGCGUUUUUAAGCAUGAAUUAAAUUGUUUUUUUGAUUGUUUAUUAGUAAAUUUUAAUAUUACCUAGGUAUAUAUACAUUCCAUAUGAAUAUGUUUUUAUAUAUCUGCACUCUUUAGUUGGGAAGUAGAUGUAUUGAUGAAAGUUUUUUUAUAGAAUUAAUUAUGUAUUUGAAGAAAUUAAUAUUUUAUUGUUAUGUAACCUGUUGUUUAAAAUUUUAAAUGUUUAAAUUAUAUUUUAUAUACGAUGUAAUUGAGGAUAUUACCUCAUUGAGGUAGCAUAUAAUUUUGUUGCACGUCAAAUUAAACAUGUCUAUUUUUUAAAGAAAUUGAUGCUUGCUGUGAACUAAUCAAUUUUAAAAUUUAGUUUUAUGGAAUAUUAUAAUGCUAACUCAAAAAAAAAAAAAAACAAGAAGAAGAAGAAGAAGAAGUUGAUAUUGUAGUUGAGUUGUGAAGUUAGUAUAACGAGACGAGCAUUGUCAUUAUUAUCUGUAGGUUAAAUUUUUUUUCAAGUCAAUAAUUUAUUAUUAAAAAUACAAAAAAACUUUACUGAAAUUCUAAUAUAUAUAAAAAAUCACACCCAGUAAAAUCAACACAUGUAUAUAUACAUACAUACAUAUAUAUAUUUAUUUAUAUAUGCUUUUUUUUUGGGCUGUUACACAAGGUGUACCGAAAGAAACCCCACCGGAUCCGAGGCUUGUCGUAUUGAGAUAUUGUCGGGCGCCAAGUUUACUGACUACUCACCUACCAGUACGCUGUGCCUUACCGUUAGAGAUCUUUGGAUGGUUUAGGAAGAGUGAUAUUUUCUAGUUUAAUUAUUUUCCAGUACGUGGCCUUGGCCCAGCAAGGUUUGUACAAUUGUAGGCGAGGUGUUUUGCAGCAGCAAAAGAGGGCUGUUUGCAAAGACAACAUUAGAGGCCAAGGCCCACGGGCCAGGCACACUCCUAGUGGCUGGGCUCGAACAGAGGGUGUUGGAUGUUUGCCCACCACUUCGGCUCGUACACUCGGCCAGCACCUGGGCUCGGUCAUGUUUCCCGAUUCUUAAAGGAAUGUGAAUUUAGUAAUUGAUGCUGUAAUUAUUAUGGAUUUAUGCUAAAAGUGAACAUCUUUUUAUAAGAGUCAAUCGAGUAAAACUAGCUGAAUUACUUUUUUUAUGCCCAAAUUAAACUUAAAAAAAGGUUGUUGUUUUGGAAUUUUCUUUAUUAUUAUUGGAUUUUUUUACUUGAUUAGGUUUGAAAUAUUUAUUUAUUUUAUAUUUUAUUAGUUAUGUUAGUUUGGCUUAUUAUUUAAAACAAUCUUGCAAAUCAUUGAUAUUCAAAACCUGUUAAAUUAAAAUUCUCUUUACAGCUUACCUGUAAUUUUAGAGUUUACCAGUCAAUUGCUUACACACUAUCCUGAGAAGAUGUAAUGUUAUUAUGCGUAUACAAACUCGGCGAGUUAUUAUGGUGAUUUCAAUCUUUAAACCGAACUAAAUUUUAAAAUAAAUAAUGAGAAAAUUUAUUUAAUUUAACAUGGUUGACUUGUUUACCGCACUCAUUAUUUAGUUAAUCUGGCCAAAACAUAAAUUUAAUUUUGUUCUUAUUUUAGGAACGAAGAGGAUUUAGAUUUAAUUUUUUUUAAAAAAAAAACUGCUUAUAAUGUUUUAUCAUAUUGUAUAUUCACAACACUCCAAUUUCCUUAUGUCUUGCAUACAUGUACAAUUGUGCAAAUUGACUGCCACCCAAAAAGUAGCAAAUCAAUGCAGGCAGGAUGUAUGACACGUGACUGUUAUUCUUUCCAUUAGAAGUGAAAUAGGAGGGAAGUAGUUCAACACUUCAACUGAUAGUUAUUGGAUGAGGGAGAGUAAGAUAAUAAUUAUUUUUAGUAGUUAUAAAUUUAUUAAAAAUGUAUUUUUUUUUUAAAUAUUAAUAUAUUAAAAUUAUUUUAAAAAACUAAAAAAUAAAUUUCAAUAAAAAUCAAAUUUUAAUGAAAAAUAAAUUACUCUGCAACUCAAACAAGAUCUAGGACAGGUUUGUUUUUUAUAAAAUGGUUUUCGAGAAACUAUUUUCCAAACUUUUAUGUGUUUGUUUGCCAUUAAAGAAGUUGGUCAAUGAAAAACAUUUUCCAGUUAAAGAAAAAUUUUACUUAGUUUCUAGAAAAGUGUUUUCCUGAAAAAUUUGAAUAGAAAACACUUUUUGGAAGUUAUGAAAAAUUUAGAAAUGUCAUAUUAUUUGCUGAUUAUAUCAAAUUUGGUCCUCAAACUUUUAAUUGUUAUAUAUAUUUUGUUUUGAAUAUUUAUUUUUCAAUCUCAUCUUCUAAAAUUUAAUUUUUAUAUUAAUUUUGGUACUUAUUUUUAUAAUUAUUAUUUGUUUUUUACUUGUCAUUUUUUAUUGAAAUUUUUUAUUGAAAUUUUUUAUCUAUCAAAUUUUGGUACUCAUUCUUUUGAUUGUUACUUAUUUUAUUUGAAAUAAAUUAUGAAUGUUAAUUAUUAUUAUUUUAAUUUAUUCAUCUUUUAUUUUUUUUUAUUAGAUUAAAUUUCUAUUAUUUUGAUUAUUAUUUAUUUUAUUUGAGAUAAUUUAUAAAAUUAUAUUUUUUUUCAAUUUCAUUAUUAUUGAACUUUUUAAUUUGUAAAAUUUAUUUCUCAUUAUUUUAAUAAACUUGAAAAAAAUAAAAUAUCAAUAAGCUAUUUUACAGCUCAUUUUCUAUGAUAUAACCAAAUACUAAAAAGUAUUUUUUAAUUUAUUUUUUAUUACACUAACAAACAUCAAAAAAUAAUUUAUUUUUAAAAAAAAAAAAAAUUUUUAAAAAAACUAUUCUUUAGCAAACAAAAUGCCUAAAAAUAUUUGGGAUUGAGUUGCCGUGAAGUGAGGUUAGAUUUUUUUUGCAGUACGAUCCCUUUUGAAACACAAAUAUCAAGAAAAUCCACACCCACUGAAAAUUAAAAACACAUACUCUUUAUUAAUUUUUUUUAAAAUCCCAUAAAAAAACAAAUCCUUAUCUUGCCUCACCCAAAUCCAAAAGACACCUUAUAAUGCUUAGGUUAUGCAGGCCACGUAACCUAUAGGUAGAGUCACAUCAAGAUAUCAAUCAAAAGUCAUGGAAGAAUAUAUGGUUCAUAUUUGAGAAAGAAGCGGAAGCAUGCGUGGGCGUGCCCUACAUAGAGCUUCUAGUGGUUUUGCCUUCGGAACGGUGAACCCGGGACUCUCGGUCAUGUCCACCAUUUUAUCACCAAUCCUCUGCCACUCGAAACAUUGAAGGAGCGAGCCCAAUGCUAACCCCACCACUCUCAGGGCCAAGCCUUCUCCAGGACAGCUCCUCCUUCCAUGCCCGAAAGGCAUCAACUUGAACUCGUCUCUUCCCCCCUCCGGGUUGUCGAACCUCUCAGGUCUGAAUUUUGUAGGGUCUGGCCAGAUUUUAGGGUCAUUUUGAAUGGCCCACGUAUUUACAGAGAGCAUCGUGCCCCGUGGAAUGCGGAAUCCUCCAACCAGGCAUUCUUGUGAUGACUCAUGAGGUACUAGCAACGGAGCUGGAGGGUACAUCCGCAACGUUUCGUUGAGGAUGCUGCGGAGGUAGGGAAGGUGGGCAAGAUCAGCUUCAUCCAUCAAACGAUCAUGCCCAAUCUGCUCGUCGAUUUCUCUUUGAGCCUUCUCGAGGACUUGGGGAUGGUUAAGCAAAAGUGAAAGUGCCCAUUCCAUUGUAAUAGAUGAAGUGUCUGUUCCCGCCAAUAAGAGCACCUGCAAGCCAAUAGGCAGUGGAGAUAUCUUAUUCUAGCUGGUGUAACUUGACACGGCAACAACUUCUAACAGUGGAGAUAUCCUACUGCUUGAAUAUUCUAAUACACAAGUUUGCUAUUGCGCAUUUUCAUUUUCUUGACAAAAGGAAGAUCCAAAGACAAGAUAAUGAAAAUUUAACAAUCCUGAAUUAUGACUUAAACAUUAAAGAAAAGUGCUCCAUUAUGAUAUCACUACUCAAUUGAUCAUAAUAAUCAGUAAAUCAAACAACAUGAUUAAAGAUCUUACCAGCAUAAUCCCUUUGAUGAUAUCGUCCGUGUAAUACGCAGGUUCAGUUUCUUGCAGCGACAGCAGAACCUGAAUCAAAUUCUUUUUCUUUUCGCCACAACAAUCACCCUCCAAUAUUUUUCUCCGUUGCUCUUCUACCAAGUACUGCAUGAAACUAUCCCUCUUUAUAUGGCAUUCUAUCAGUCUCUUCUCCAUCUUUUUUGAUUUAAUCCACGGUAUAUAGUCUCCAAUAAUGGUUUUUCCACCUAACACGAAGGCUUCAGCAUGAAUUGCUCGAAACCUUUUUGCUUCUUCCACAUCUGAAACAUUCUCUCCAUAAUAUCUUUUUCCAGCUAUCAUCCGCAUCAUGAUGUUCAGUGUCAGUUCGAAGAAAACUGUCUUCAUAUCUACAAUCUGACUCUGAUUACGAAAGAGAACACAAAUCAUUGACUUCACCUCCUCCAGACGUAUGGCAGAGAGCAUUUGGAGGCGGUAUGCAGACAAGACUUCAAUAGAGACGAUCUUCCUAAGGUUUCGCCAGUGGUCGCCAUAGGGAGCCCAAGCAAGGCUUGUGCUGUUGUAGGCGAGGUGUUUUGCGAUGAGCAAACGUGGGCGAUUAGCGAAGACAACAUCAUUUUUUGUAAAGCAUUCCUCAGCUAUGGAAGGGGAUGAAACAACAAGUAGUCGACGAGAUCCGAGUUGGAGCAACAAUACAGGGCCAUGUUUACUAGAGAUUUUUGAUAGUGUCCUGUAAAUUGGCUUCUUCAGUAGGUAGAGAUGGCCAAUGAUUGGCAGUGAAGGGAAUGGACUAGGUGGGAAGUUUUUUAUCUUGUCUAGGAAGUGCCUUGUUAUGAUAUACAACGCUAAAAUCACAAGAAAGUAGAGAAUCAAGGUUGCCAUGGAUUUGUGAAUGGCCACUGUUCUUGUUUUUUAGGAAGGUGUAUGAAUUAUAUUGUGCUAUGCAUCGAGACUAUCCAGAUACCCAUUACUUUAGUACAGUAUUCGAAUCCAAUAAAUUCUCAAAAGUCGUCCAUGCCUGUCUACUCUCACCAUUUAAAAAAGGGUACUAUGGACGUGAUGAGGUCAGUGCAAACGCAUUACUGGUGAACUAGUGACAUGCACAGUUUCUAAGACCUUUUUAAACAUACUUGUCUGAUAUGAGAGGCAUGUUUUUUUAUAAAAAAAAAUUAAUAUAUAAUAUAAUCUGAAUUAAUAUAUAAAUUUAUUUUAAAAUAUCAUUUAAUAUCAAAUAAAAAAUAUUAGAAGAUAAGCUUUUUAUAAAAUACAAUUUGAAAAAAAAAUUAUUUUAUUUUUUAAAAAGUUAAGCGAAUCCACGGCAGUCUAAAAAAAUAAUUUUAUUGGUGUUUGAUUUUUUUAAAAUAAAAUUCUUUAAUUCUAUUUAAAUAAAGUUUUUUUUUUAAAAAAUAAAUAAAGCACAGCCCUUUAAAAAGAAGUUCGGGAGUCUGGCCUGAUGGACACCAAUAACCAUAGCUGUGUAAAGCAACCGUCCAGUCUAGCAUGUUGACUCAGAAAACUGAAAUUUAGAAUCCGAUUCAGACAGGUUUUCUAGUUUAAUGAUACAAGACACGACUGCACUUAUAUAGAGGAUUUUUCUAAGGUUUCGCCAGUAGUCCCCACGAGGAGGCCAAGCAAGGUUUGUAAAGCACCUUGCUUGCAGGGCCAUGUUGACAAGGAAAUUUGGACCAAAAAAAAAGGUUUGUAAAGCACUCUUCAGCUAUUGAAGGGGGCGAGUCGAAAAGAGCUCUACGGGAACCGAAGGGGAGCAAGAUUGCAGGGCCAUGCAUGUUGACAAGCAAAUUUGGACAAGUGUCCAGUAAAUUGAUUUCUAAUGGAGGUAGAGAUGGCGGAGACUGGUGGCGCAGGGAAUGGACUUGGUGGGAGAGGGAGGUUUCGGAACGAGGACAAAAAACUGAGUGAAUAAAAUAGAUGCUAGAAAGAUAGCAGGCAGAAAGCGACAGCAAAAAAAGACAAAAAUUAUUAUAGCAAAAACAUAAUAGUAUUUCCCAUUAUCGAGUGUUGAAGAUAUUGUCAAAUAUAGUAAAAAGACAAAAAUUAUUAUAGCAAAAACAUAAUUGUAUUUGCUUGCUUAAACGAAUACUGUUACAUCAUGGUACUAUAUAUAUUACAAUUCUUGAUUAAAACAAUAUUAUAAUUAAGAAUGUAAUGAAUGAGAAGAUAUAUAUUUAAUUUCUAGAAUAUUUGUUGUAGAUAUAAUCAUAAUCAUUUUUAGUAUAAGUAAUUUCUUGUAUAGAUAUAAUUAAAAAUCAUGAUUAUUUUCAAUAUCAGUGAUCCCUGAUCAUGAUAGUAAUUUUUUAUCAUAAUUAUCUUUAAUAUCGAUAAUCUCUUGUGUGUUUAUGAUAUUAUCUUCAAUAUCAAUAAUCAUUGAUUAUAAUUAUUUUCAGUAUCAAUAAUAAUUUCUUAUACAGAUAUAAACAAAGAUCAUGAUUAUCUUUAGUAUUAGUGAUCCUGAUCAUGAUAAUAAUCCCUGAUUAUGAUUAUCUUCAAUAUCAAUAUUAUCUUCAGUGAAUUUGAUAAUAUCUUCAACCUAUUGUGCUAAAUAAUGAAUAUGCCCAAAAUAUUGUUGGUAAGCUCUUAGAUCUUAGAAGCAUCAAAUAUUUUUGCUUUGUUUUGAUUUAAGAAUCUAAAUUGAUUUUUUUACUCGUUAAUCAUUUGUUGAUUGUAUAUAUGAUAGUGGGUUUAAUAAGAGCUAGUACAUGCAAAAGAUAGAAUAAAAAAAAAGGUUGAUGAUCUUUGAGUUGAUUGGCUCCAUAUAAAUCAUUGCAUUGCAUAUCUUCGGACUUCAUUUAAAAGCUUAAGCUUUUAGAUUGAAAUAGUUAUUUGAUAUGAUAUUAGAGUCUUGAUGACUAAACGAUCACGAGUUUAAACCCAAAGGGUUUUUACUUAAAAGGAUGUAUUAAAAAAUAAUAUAAAUUAUAUCCUGGAAUCUCAUAUAAAAACUUAAGCUUUUAGAUUGCAAUGUAAUGUUAAAAUUAUUUUUAAAAUAUUUUUUAUUUAGAAAUAUAUUAAAAUAAUAUUUUUUUAAUUUUAUUUUUAAUAUCCAAACAUGAAAAUAUUAUAAAAAUACAUUUUUUUAUAUAAAAAAAACAGGUUAUCUCAGCAUAAUCAAGAUAGAUAUGAUAGAAUAAUUCAAAGUUAGAAAUUUGAAACACGUGGAUGAUAAAGAAAAGGUCUCCUCGAGAAUUUUCUUUUCGUAGAGGCGUGUCGUUGGUUUCUAGGAUCAGGUUGCUAUGAAUUUAUGCACUAGAUUUGGAAAAGUUAUUAUUCCCUUUCAAUUAUAUGUGUACUGUUGUUUCAUGAUUCUCUAAAUGACUCUGUACUUGACUUUGCCUUUUUCACUGGUUAUCGAUCAUUGAUUUUCCUUAAUUCCAUAUAUAUUCCAGCAGCAAAUUUGGACGAUACUGCUUGGAUAAGGGAGCGCAAACCAUGAAUCAUGUCUAGCAUUUUUUUUUUCCUUAAAAUCAUGUUUGUGUGUUUUUUUUUUAUAAUAUAAAAAACAAGAUAAAUAUUAUUUUAAUAUAUUUUUGAAUAAAAAAUAUUUAAAAAACCAGCCGGCACUGUGAUACUAAACACUAUCUCUAAUAAGAGAGUUUGCAAUUUUAGCUAGCGAUCAUUGAUAUCCAGUCGCAUAUCAUUCGGAUAGAGUUGCUAAAAGCAUAUGGUAUAGACUAUAGACACUGAUUUUUCUAGAUAAUAACCAUAUAAUAUAGUAAAGGUGUCAAAAAUAACUUUGCAAGUAGACAACUUUAAAGCAAGGAGACACAAGAGGUAGGGUCAUGCCACCACGUUGUCAUAGCAAAAAAAUAAAUGGGCGGCUGAGAGUGCUUCCUUUCCUUUAAAGUAUCCACAACAUAACAUUAUCCCCGGCUCUAAUGGUAUGGGCGUCAAUUAUUGUUCUUAUGAACACUGCUUCUUCUUGCAUUUUUUUUAAUAGAUCCGCAUUUUAUUGGGUUAUGGGCGUCAAUUAUUGUUUUAUGAACAGUGUUUCUUCUUGCUUUUUUUGUUUUUUUAAUAGAUACACAUUUUAGUGGGUUAAUUCCACCUUUAUGAACAAGGUGACAGGUUUGGAACAUUAGUUUUAGUGGAUUUUAAAUUUUUUUUUAUUUUUUUUAUUUUAUCAUUAAAAAUUGAGUGGGUCAAGGGUUUAAACUUCUUCCUUUUGUUAUUUUAAUCUCGUAUUUCAAGUCAUAAGAUUAGACGGUUAACCUCUUGAUUUUGAUUUUUUUUUAUCCUUUAACAUUAUGUUAGUUUUAAAAUUAAAUUUUAUAAUUUUAUUCAAUUUUGUUUCUAUGCUUUUAUCUUGGUUUUAUAGCUAGUUCACAGAUUUGAGAGGCUCACUUAAGUAAUUUGAUUUUAAAUUUUUUUCUUUAAUAUUUGAUUUACUAGAAAUUGAACUUCUUAUGUCUUUUUCUACAUUGAUUUUUAUGUGGUUAUUCUAUUCUUGUUUUUUCUAAAAUUGAAUAUUGAAUAUUGAAUAUUUAAAAUUUUAUCAUUCAAUUUAAUAUUGUAUUAUUUUAAAAUUGAAUGUUAUUAUUUGUUUCAAUUUAUUUUUUAUAGGAUUAUUGAUAGUUAAUUUAAAUUGACACAAUUCAAUUCAAUAUAUUGCUUUUUUUAUAUUUAAAAAAUAAUUCCCAACAUACCAUAGUCUCAUUGUUGAAAAAUGUAUCAUUAUAGAAUACUCUAAUGGGAUAUUUAUUGUAGCAGGUGUUUUUUUUUUCUGUAGAAUUUUUUUUUUCCUGCUUUGUAUCUUCUACUAUUUUUUUACAUGUUUUUUUUUCUUUUUUCAAAAUUAUCUUUGUUAAUUUUUUUUUAAAUAUUGAGCUAGUUGAAAAAUUAACUAUGUAGUUUUUUUAAAAAAACAUUUAUGGAUUGCUAUAAUAUUCUCAUACAUUGUUUUUUUUUAUGAUUUUUUUAUUAUUAUUUUUUUUCAAAAUGGUCUUUGUAGAUUUUAUUUUUUUUAUAUUAAGUUGGUUGAGAAUUUAGCUUUAUAGUUUUUUUUUAAAAAAAUAAUAUGGAUUGCUACAGUAUUUCCCCUACAUAGUUUUUUUUUUUGCUGCAGUGUUUCCCCACAUGUUUUAUUUUUUUUGCUUUUGUUUCUUUUUUUUUUCUUCCGUAACAAUUUUUUUUUCCGCUUUUGUUUUUUCUGCUUUUUUUUUAACAUGUUUUUUUUUCUUUUUUUUUUAACCCAAAAUUGACUUCUUCUUCUUCAUCUUUUUCUUUUUUUUUUUCAAAAUUUUUUUUUCUAUUUUUUUUUAAAUAUUGAGCUGGUUGAAAAUUUAACUAUGUAGUUUUAAAAAAAAAAACAUUGUGAAUUACUAUAAUAUUCUCAUACAUUGUUUUUUUUUCUUUUUAUGAUUUAUCUAUUCUUUUUUUUCUUUCAAAAUGGUGUUCUUAGAUUUUUUUUAUAUUAAGUUGGUUGAAAAUUUAGCUUUGUAGUUUUUGUUUUGCUGCAGUGUUUCCCCACAUAUUUUUAAAAAAUUAUCUUUAUCAAAUUUAUUUUUUUAAUAUUGAGCUAGACGAUAAUCUAACUUUAUUUUUCCCCACAUGUUUUUUUAUUUUUUUUUAUAUUUUUCCAAAAUUGUCAUUUUUUACAUAUUUUCUUCUUUUUUUUGCUUUGUUUUUUUCAGAAUUAUUUUUUUUAUUUUAUUUUUUUGCUAUUGAGUUGAUUGAAAAUUUAGUUUUUUUUUGUUUUUUUCUUUAAAACACUAUAGUUUUCCCCGCGUGUUUUUUGCCGCUUUUGUUUCAUUUUUUUUACAUUUUUUUUACCCAAAAUUGACUCUUUUUUUUUUGAAAAUAGUCUUUGUCGGUUUUUUUUUAAUAUAUUAAGCUGGUUGAGAACUUAGUUUUUUAGUUUUUAAAAAAAAACACUAUGGAUUGCUACAAUGUUUCCCUUGCAUGGUUUUUAUUUGGCUGCAGUGUUUCCCCAACAUUUUUUUAAAAAAAUUAUCUUUUUUGAAAUUAUUUUUUAAAUAUUGAGUUGGUUGAGAAUUUAGCUUUAGCUUUAGCUUUCCCUACAUUUUUUUUUAAAAUUUUUCCCAAAAUUGUCUUUCUUCUUUGUAUUUUUUUAUCAUAAUUAUUUUUGUUAAUUUCAUUUUUUUACUAUUCAGCUGAUUGAGAAUUUAGUUUUGUAAUUUUUUUCUUUAAAAUACUAGAUUUCUACAGUGUUUUCUAUGUGAUUUUUUAUUAAAUAAUUUUUUUUUCUGAAUUAUCUUUAUCGAUUUUUUUUUCAUAUUAAGCUGAUUGAGAAUUUAACUUAUAGUUAUUUAAAACACUGUGUUUUCCCACAUGAUUUUUGUCUUGCUACAAUGUUUUUGCACAUGUUUUUUUUAUCGAUUUUUUUUUCCAAAUAUAUUUUUGUCAAUUUUAUUUUUUUUCAUACUGAACCGGUUAACAAUUUAGCUUUCUUUUCCUUAAAACAUCGUUGAUUGCUACAGUGUUUUACCUUAUGAUUUUUUUAGUUAUAUAUUUUUUUAAAUUAUCUUUGUCGUUUUUAUUGUUUUUAAUAUUGAGCUGAUUAAAAAUUACAACUAUAGAUUUUCUCAUGAAACACUAUAGAUUGUUAUAGUGUUUCCCUGCAUGUUUUUUUUUUAUAUUUGUCAAAAUUAUCUUUAUUGAUUUUUUUUAAUAUUGAGCUGGUUGAGAAUUAUAGUUUUAUAUUUCCUCACAAAACACUAUAGAUUGCUACAAUGUUUUUUUAAAUGAUUUUAAUAUUGAGCUGGUUGAAAAUUGAGUUUUAACUUUUCCCACGUGUUUUUUUUUAUUUGUUUUUGUUUUUUGUUUUUUUUUCUUCCAAAAUUGUCAUAUUCUUUUUUUCAUUGUUUUUGUGUUUUUUUUUCAUAAUUUUUUUUUUGUCGAUUUUUUUUUUUAACAUUGAGCUGGUUGAGAAUAUAGCUUUGUAGUUUUUUCAUUUAAAAUAUUUGUGGAUGGUAACAAUUUUUUUUAUAUGAUUUUUUUCACAAAUCCAUGAUAAUGCACAAGCAUGCUACAAGCCCGCGGCAUCGCGCGGGCAUGUCCCGCCUUUGACUAUUAUAUUUACUUAUUAAUAUAUUAUAUUAUUAUAAUUAUUAUAUUAUAAUUUAUAAUUAUAAUUAUUAUAUUAUAAUUAUAAUUAUAAUAAUUAUUAUAUUGUAUUAUAUUAUAUUUUUUUGUCGAUUUUUUUUUUUAACAUUGAGCUGGUUGAGAAUAUAGCUUUGUAGUUUUUUCAUUUAAAAUAUUUGUGGAUGGUAACAAUUUUUUUUAUAUGAUUUUUUUCACAAAUCCAUGAUAAUGCACAAGCAUGCUACAAGCCCGCGGCAUCGCGCGGGCAUGUCACACCUUUGACUAUUAUAUUUACUUAUUAAUAUAUUAUAUUAUUAUAAUUAUUAUAUUAUAAUUUAUAAUUAUAAUUAUUAUAUUAUAUUAUAAUUAUAAUUAUAAUUAUAAUAAUUAUUAUAUUGUAUUAUAUUAUAUUAUGUUAUAUUAUAUAAAUAUUUUUUCUUUUUAAUUUUUUAGUGAAUUAUUUUUGUUUGAUUUAAUUUGUUAAUGUUAAUUUUUUUUUAUUUAGUUAUUAGUUUUUCAUGAUACGGAUCUCGGGUUUAAUGGGUUAACCUGAUUUGACAAUUAUUUUUUCAUUUAGUUUAGUUUGUUAAAGUUAAUUUUCUUUCUAUUUAAUUAUUAUACUUUCAUACUUUCAUGACACGUGUCCUGGGUGUGACGAGUUAACUUGGUUUGACCGGUUAACCCAGUUAAUUCUGGGUAAACCCGUCAUUUUUUUUUCUAUUUAGUUAUCAAGCUUUCAUGACUCGAAUCCCAGGUUUUACGGGAUAACCUGGUUUAAAGGGUUAACCAAAUUAAUUCAAUUUUUUUUUCUUUUUCUUCAUUAGUUUUUUUCUUCUUGUUGAUUUUUUUUCUUUUUUUUUAAUUAAUCUAUUUAAUUAUCACACUCUUAUGACACGACAUUAUAGCCAGACCCACAUCCAAUAUUCUUUGGUCCGGUGUUGCAGACAGAAUCUCUUAAACUUGGGUCAUGCAAGUUUAGUUUUAUUAUUAAUAUUAUAAAUAUUACUUUUAGGUAAGGCGUUGCAGCCAAACCCAAGAUUCUUGGGUAUAGUUUUGCAGAAAAACCUAAAAAUUUUAAAUUUUUAUUUGUUUUAAUAUUUUUUAUGUAAAAAAAAUUACCCGCAACAUCGUGCGGGUCAUGUAUCUACUCUAAUCUAAUACGUGUCAAAUCUUGCAUUAUUGCUGAUUUUUUUUUUUUUUAUCUUAAGAAACAACACGUCAAUUUUUUUUGUUUGAAAAAAAUAAUAUUGCACGCACAACAAAUGCGAGUGAAUGAAGUAGCCACACUGCAUUGUUUGAAAAUUUCCCCUCUUUUUUAUUUUUUACAUGCUGUACAGUGAAAAAAGAGAGUUGUUGCCGCAGCAGCGUACGGUCAAGCCACCUAGUUAUAUAUUAAAUAAAACGAAAACAGUACUUGAGGUCAUUGGCUAGCGGGAAAAGAGACUUAUUUUCUUCCUCUGCACCGGGUUAGAUUUUUUUUGUGCAUUUAUAUAAUUAGUUGUGAUGUACUGAUGUGUAUAAACUGAUUUAAAUAUUCUAGAUUAUAUAUAUAUAUAAAAAAAAAAACAAAUCCACAAAAAGCAAUCACGAGCCACGAAUUUUGCCAGGGUUGAACUCUAGGUAGAAUGCGUUGAAUACAAGGGCCACCUAAGCUAAGAAACAAGACUUUAAGUUACCGAAAGAGGCUGGCAAGUACUUUUCAGACAUGGAAAACGGACAGAGAAUAUGGUAAAAGAUUCAGUUUUUCAUUCAUUUGACCCUGUAGGUUUCUUCGUGUAAGUUUUUCAACUCUAUUUUUAUCACGUUUUAGUCAUGAGUUAUAAAAUAAAAAAAAUCAUAAAAAAUAUAAAAUUAUAAUUAAUCAACACUCCAAUCAUAAAAAUAAAAUAAAAUAAGCAUGGUGUCCGUAAUAGAGGUGAUUUUGUAUCUAACUAUACUAAAAAAAAAAAAAUCAAGAAUUUGUUUUUGUUUUUACCUGGUUAUCCUCAUAUCCUUUUAGAGGGUGAGAUUAAUUCCGUUCGAGGUUUGUGGUUGCUUCUUCCAACAAGUACACUUUUUAGAUAUUAAACUUGUAUUUUUAUUUUUACAGGGAUAUAGUAGUGUUUUAAUUGCUACACCAAUAUUUCAUUUAUAUUAAAAAAUUAGGACUUAUAAUGAUAUUUUUAAUUCGGUUUGAAUUUCAAGUUUUAUAGUGAUUAAUUUUUUUUUACAGUUAAAAUGAAGUUUUCAAGAUUUAUAAUUCGGUUUGAAUUUCAAGACUUAUAAUAAUAUUUUUAAGAUUUCCAUGAUAUUUUAGAAGGUUUUAGUUACAAAUAAAGUUUAAAAUUGAGUUUUAAAUAUAUAAACUUAAACACCAAUUUUCUAGCUGCCAAAAAUCCACCGGAGUAUAAGACGGAUGACUUGUCAUCUGAUAUGUUAAAAAAAUUUACAAUCCUCCUAUUUAAGUUUUUUUUAAAAAACAGAGUGAGAAAGAUAGGUGCGUGAUUUUAGCUUUCCAAUCCUAUGUGUUCCUGGGGUAAUCUUUUGGACGUGCACAAAGCUGUCCUCCAAAAGCUAGGUGCCCGUAGCUCUUUCGUUAUAUAGAUUGUAACAUUGUUUUAUUUCUUUUUUUAUUUAAAUUCUUAGAAUAAAGUUUUUUUUUUUAUAACUUUAUUAAAAUAAUAUUUAACUAAUUAUCCAAUUAUAUCACAGUUUUCAAAGAAUUAGAGUAUAUUUUUGUAAUAUUAACAAUUAUAGGAUGAUUAGUUAUACAUUAACUUAAUAUAUGUAAUUUUUUUUAAAAAUAAUUUGCUAAUCAACCAUCAAUAAGAAUAUAAUAUUCAUUUUGUUAUUAUAAAUAUUUUAUAUAAUUUUCUUAGAUUAUUAUUUUUAUAUUUACUAUUACUUAUAUAUAUAAAAAAUCAAAAUAAUAUUAUUUUAAUAAUAUAUUUAAAAAUUCCUUCAUCUAUCAAUCACUGAAUUAAUUUAGUUGUACAUCAACUCGUUGAGUGAUUUGAAUUUAUCUAGCAAACAUCUAUCUUAUUUUAAAAAAGAAAACCGGGCCCAAGUUAAAUUUUAGAUUAAUAAAUCAUUGUGUCGAUUCGCUGAGUUUUUGGAAUUUAUUGUGAUAAAUUUAUAAAUAUCAGGUAUUAAUUAUUUUGAUUUACUAGAUACCAUUUUCUAUUAAUUAUUAAUUACCCGAGUUUUUCAUAUUAAGUUAUCGGAUAUUUUAAUUAAAAUAAAUAAAUUUAAUUACCUAAACUAAAAAAAUGAAUCAAUUAUUUAAUAUAUCAAUUUUAUUUCUAAGCACCUAAUUCUAGUACUCAUCACUGGCAAUCGUUUCAAUUAUCUUGUAAUGUAUUUUCCCGUAGAUUUCUAACACCCUCAAAACUUGCUGCAUAAAUUCGAUGACUUCAUAGUCAGUGUUGUUGUCCAAAACAAAAAUCGGGACCCUGUUGGCUGCUCUAAUAUUCACGAAGUGGCAACAAGUUUUCCUUUUUUUUUACUCGUUAUGCUUCAUUUUUUACGUUUUUAUCUUAUAGUUAAUUUCAUGCUAUCUGCUGGAUUAGAAAAAGGCAUGACAAAUUCAAUUACUAAACAACUAUCGUAGCAAAGAGACUGUCAACAUACGACAAAAGCAUAUUGGAUCCAUUAACUAUUAAGCAUAUUUAAUAACUAUGAUUGUAACUAGUUAUGACUGGUUUGUCUCCCUCGUCUUGAAUGAAGCCCAAACGCUUAGAGUUAUGGAACAGUCCUGUGAAAGCAGAGCCUUGGCGUGGACUUGCAAUCUCAAGCAAGGCCCAGACAAAAAGCGAAGAAGACACAUGAGGGCCUCACUUCAAACUAGGCUUAUAUUGUUUGGUCAUAUUACAAAUUCUCACAGCACACCAAUUUCCUAAUGUCUUGCCAAGGCUGCAUCCUUGCACAAAUGUGCAGAUUGAUUGUCAUAGAAACGGUAGCUUAUAAAUGGAGGUAGGAUAUAUGAUAAGUGACUGUUAUUCUUUCGAUUACAAGUGAAAUGGAAGGCAGCCAUUUUUUCUUUCAUAAUCAAUUCUACGUGGUGUAUAAUAAUGUAUUAUUGUUGUCUAUCAAGACUCACAUGAUAAUAAAUAGCAUUGGUUAUGCUGGUCGGAUAACCUACGGGUAGAGCCAGAGACAUGUCAUGAUGCCAACCACUACCGAGAGUCAUGGAGAAAUACAUAGUUUAUAUUUGAGAAAGAUGCCUUAGCAUGUUUGGGCGAGGCCUACAUAUAACUUCCAGUGGUUUUGCCUUCGGAACGGUGAACCCGGGGCUCUCGGUCAUGUCCACCAUUUUAUCACCAAUUUUCUGCCAUUCGAAACAUUGAAGGAGCGAGCCCAAUGCUAAUGCCAUCACUCUCAGGGCCAAGCCUUCUCCAGGACAGCUCCUCCUUCCAUACCCAAAAGGCAUCAACUUAAACCCAUCUCUCGCCACCUCUGGAUUGUCAAACCUCUCAGGUCUGAAUUUUGCUGGGUCUGGCCAGAUUUUAGGGUCAUUUUGAAUGGCCCACGCAUUUACAUACAGCAUCGUGCCACGUGGAAUGCGGAAUCCUCCAACCAGGCAUUCUUCUGACGACUCGUGAGGUACUAGCAACGGAGCUGCCGGGUACAUCCGUAACGUUUCGUUGAGGAUGCCGCGGAGGUAGGGAAGGUGGGCAAGAUCAGCUUCAUCCAUCAAACGAUCAUGCCCAAUCUGCUCGUCGAUUUCUCUUUGAGCCUUCUCGAGGACUUCGGGAUUGUUAAGCAAAAGUGAAAGUGCCCAUUCCAUUGUAGUAGAUGAAGUGUGUGUUCCUG